UUACGGCCACAUCACGUUGAAACAUCGGUUCCCAUACGAUCACUAACGUUAAGCAACAUUGAGCUUGGUCAUUAACUAGAUAGGUGAUGGCUUGGGAUUUCCAGGUGCUACAAG